AGAUAGUAUGAGAUAAAGAAUGUAUAUAUAACUAUGUCACUUUGCUAUACAGUAGAAAUUGGUCCUAUGUUGUAAAUCAACUAUAUUUUAAUAAAAAGUAAAAAAUAUUUGGAGAACAAGAAUGUGACGAUUGUUAUUGACCUGCAGUAUUCAUUUUAUUUUUAUUUUUGAAGUCUUCUUAUUACACAUAAAUAAGUCUUUAUUUUUGAAGUCUUCUUAUUACAUAUUUAUAGACUUACUUUUAUUCUUUUUGAAAAAUUGAGAUAAAAUUGACAUUUAGCAUUCUAUUUGUUUCUGCUGUACAACACGAUGACAACAUAUGUAUACAUUGUGAAAUGAUCAUCACAAUAAGUCUGGUUAACAUCCAUCACCACACAUAGUUACAAUGUUUUUCAUGUGCUGGACUUUUUUUAUUAUAGUUUACAAAUGGACACACAAAUGGAUUUGGAUAUAUGACACCAAGAUCAAAUUGAACAUGGCCAAGUAACUGACCUAUAAGGAACAUGUGCUGGAAAGAACAUGAGCUAAAAACUACUGUCUGUGAUAGAAAUUACAGGAUCAAUGAUUCUCUCAAGACUUAUGUGUAGUCCUCAAAGCCAUCCGCAAGUUGUAGAAGAUACCUAAGCUGUUUGCUUGGCUGCUUCCCACUUCCUGGCAAAGUACUCCUUCUGGAAUUUGUCCUUCUCCAAGCUGAGAGGGGAGAUACAGCUAGCAGAAGUAUACUCACCUCAUCGCCACCUAGUGAGAAGAACGGUGUCGAAACGUAUCGAAGGUGUUGGAGGAAGUUGAGAAGAUGUGACCUCUGGCUGACCUGCUGGCUGGACUGGCAAGUCGAGGCCCUUCACCCUCUCGCUUGUCCUUGAAAUGUAUCCUCUGCCCACAAUGGGAGCCAUGUUCAAGGUCACAGCCUUGAGAGAGUAAGGUGCUGGGACCAUCUGGACUGAAUAUGUGACUCAAUUCAGGUGUGACUCUUCUAAGGCCACCAGAGCAUUUGUGAAUUGAAGCCAAGGAAUCCAGCAGACUUCAAACUUGGUUAAGUUCCUGACUUAAACAGCCAGAGGACCUAGGAAUGGAAGAAUCUGGCUUUUUAUCAUAAUAAUUCUACUGCACAUUUGAAGCCUGAGCUACAGUUGUAAUUUUAGUAAGUUUAAAAUAUAGUCUUUUUAGUUUUAAUGAAGAUUAGAUAUUAAACUGAUGGCAGAAAAUGAAGAACAAUGCUUAAAAGCCCGAGUAAUAUCCUUUCUCCAUAUUCUUUCAAGAAUGAAUUUGUAAGAAACUGCCUAAAGUCACUGGCAAUGGAAAAGAGGGGUGAAUGUGGUGGCUAGCCCUGGGGCUCCACCUGGACAUUUCUGUAUCCUUUUUUUAAAUUAAUUUUGAAUUGCCUCUGUUGUGUUUUUUUUUUUUUUUUUUAAACAGUCCAUGGCUCUUUCAGGGUCUGCCCUUUGGCUAUUGGACACUUUUGCCUCUGUAUAGAAUUAUAAUCUCUGAGGGCUGUACCAGAGGCUGACAGGUGCAGGAGUAGGAAAGCCCCAAUGCCUUACCUCGAAUGGGAACCACUCUGAGGUGUGACUCACCCCCAAGAAGCCUCAGGCAGCAUCAGGCUGACGCUGCCCUCUCAAGGCUCUGCCAGGUUACGCCUGACUGGGCUUCCUCCUCUGUCCUGCCUGGCUUUCUCCUUUCUCUUACCAGUUUCCCCACUUUCUAAAUAAAUCCCCUGAACACAAAUCCUCAUCUCAACAUUAGCUUCUGGAAACCAGACCCGAGCCUGUGAAGGAAUGAAGGGAAGGAAAUGAGCUGAUUUACAAAGUCACAUGAUUUCUUUGAUGAAUGUAUUUUGGACAUUCACUAGCAUUUUAUUUUUAUUUUUUUAUUUUUUAGU